rnacentral:rRNA from 1 species
AUUGAACGCUGGCGGAAUGCUUUACACAUGCAAGUCGAACGGCAGCACGGACUUCGGUCUGGUGGCGAGUGGCGAACGGGUGAGUAAUGUAUCGGAACGUGCCCAGUCGUGGGGGAUAACGUAGUGAAAAUUACGCUAAUACCGCAUACGAUCUAUGGAUGAAAGCGGGGGAUCGCAAGACCUCUCGCGAUUGGAGCGGCCGAUAUCAGAUUAGGUAGUUGGUGGGGUAAAGGCCCACCAAGCCAACGAUCUGCAGCUGGUCUGAGAGGACGACCUGCCACACUGGAACUGAGACACGGUCCAGACUCCUACGGGAGGCAGCAGUGGGGAAUUUUGGACAAUGGGCGAAAGCCUGAUCCAGCCAUUCCGCGUGCAGGAUGAAGGCCCUUGGGUUGUAAACUGCUUUUGUACAGAACGAAAAGGUUUCUACUAAUACUAGGAGCUCAUGACGGUACUGUGAGAAUAAGCACCGGCUAACUACGUGCCAGCCGCCGCUGUAA